rnacentral:rRNA from 1 species
GACGAACGCUGGCGGCGUGCCUAAUACAUGCAAGUCGAACGAGUGGCGGACGGGGGAGUAAUGUCUGGGAAACUGCCGGAUGGAGGGGGAUAACCAAUGGAAACGGUCGCUAACACCGCAUACCAUCAGAUGUGCCAAGAUGGGAUUAGCUAGGAGGUUGGGUACCGGAUCACCUAGGCGACGAUCCCUAGCUGGUCUGAGAGGUGGACCGUCCACCCUGGAACUUAGCCACGGUCCAGGCUCCUACGGGAGGCAGCAGGGGGGAAUAUUGCACAAUGGGCGCAAGCCUGAUGCAUCCAUGCCGCGUGUGGGAUGAGGGCCUUCGGGUUUUAAAGCAUUUUCAGCGUGGAUGCGUUACCCGCAGAAGAAGCACCGGCUAACUCCGUGCCAGCAGCCGCGGUAAUUC